AUAUAGAAAAGUGCCACGAAAUGCGGAUGAUGGUGGGGUUGGAGAGGACCAUCCUGAAAUGUUGUCUGUUUUCAAGCAUGUUGGUCGUGGUUUUGGUAAAAAGAAAAUAAGAAGGUUAGAUGAUAGAGAAUAUCAUGCAGCUCGGACAUAUAUUUUGUUGAAUUGUGAUGAAGUGAAACCAUAUAUAAAAAUUUUUUAGGAUACCUUGAGACAAAUACAACCAUGUAUUCAAGAUAGUGAGAUUGAUGCUAAACUUGAAACAAAGUUUGCGUCUUGGUUUAAUCAAUAUGCACGUGAUCCUUCAUCCGGCAUUACCAAUCAAUUCAUGAAAGAUCUUGCAGAAGGGCCCUUGCAUAAGGUUCAACCCUUUAAUGGAUAUGUUGUGAAUAGUUACAAAUUUCACACUGAAGAAUACGGUUCAAAUAAAUCUACAAUGAAUAGUGGUAUAUGCAUUAAGGGCUCUAGUCACAGUGCAGAUGAGAUCGAUUAUUAUGGUAUAUUGACAGAAAUUCUGCAGCUAGAGUAUCAUGCAUUACCAUUUAAGCGAACCGUAUUAUUUAAAUGUUCUUGGUUUGAUCCAACACCAAAACAUGGUACAAGAGUACAUCCACAAUAUAAUCUUGUUGAUGUUAAUAGAAGAAGAACUUUUAAUAAAUAUGAGCCAUUUAUUAUGGCUGUGCAAGCUUCUCAGGUGUAUUU